AAAUCAAAACUGCCUUUUCAGUUUGGUAGGUUGUUUAUCAUUUAUCAUCAUUUGUCGUAAUGCUUUUUCCUGAGUCAGUCAUAUUUUCGACUUUGCUGCCGCUCUAUUAUUAAUGAGAACUUCUACACAACUUCCUGUUGUAGCUCAACCACCGCACACCAAGCAUAUGUGGAUUUACUUCUUCUUCUUCUUCUUCUACUUUUUUUUUUUUUUUUUAAGUGCGUUUAGAAUCCUUAAUCAGCCCUGUUAUACGUUUUGACUUUCAUAAAUCAAAAUUUGCAUUUCCCCCCACCAACCCACCCCCUGCGUCCCCACCCUCCCCCCCAGCUCGGUUCUCUUCUGUACAGCUUCGUCGCACAGCCCGUGGUGUUGCUUCUCACCGCUCGUCUCCCGAACAGCGCUGUCUCUAGCCUCAGACAGUGGUCUAUUCCAAAAGAAUGGCAGCUGCUGCAAAAUUGCUUUCAUUAGUUUGCCUAGCUGGGGGGAGAACGAUAUUCCGAAAGAGGGAGAGUGUGGGAAAAGAUGAAUGGGGUGUGGAAUUUGCAGUAGCAAUAUCGCACUUAGCAGAAUAGGGUGGAGACGCACGGGCCAGGGGCAAUGGGUUUACUCCGUGAGACAAUCGGGGCAAAUCUCAGUUCUGAAUUGAACCCUCAAUUGAUUUGUAAAUAGUAUAAGCAUUUUGUUUCCAAUUCCGGAUAUUUAUUUGCUCUAGGAAAGUGAUAAUUUUUCUUACUACUAUUCAAUUCUGCCCUUCCGCACUUUAUUGCUCUAGGAAAGUGAUAAUUUAUUUAUAGCUUAUGGCAUGCUUGGAAAUGAAUAUUCUGUUUGAAAUGGGUUUCUGUACUCUUAUUUAGAGAGAUUGAUUUCUGUUUUGUCCUUUGAAAUGGCUUGUAAUUGAACUUUUGUGAGAAAUCCAUGGUUGAAAUGCGCUUUCGUACUCCUAUUUAGAGAAAUGGAUUUCUAUUUUGCUGUUUGAGAUGAUUUGAAAAUGAACUUUUACUUGAAAUCCAUGGUUGAAAUGGGCUUCUGUAGUAUUAUUUAGAUAAAUGGAUUUCUAUUUUGUUGUUUGAGAUGGUUUGAACUUGAACUUUUGUUUAAAAUCCAUGGUUUGAAAUGGAAAAACAUUUUUCAUUCUGUCCUGGUCAUAUUGAAAAGUUAAGAGUAGAAAUCCUGGAAUUUAUGCGGCCUCAUAGAGUCAUUCAUGGAGUUGAAAAUUGAUGAAAACAAUAGAGUACAGGUGUUCUAAAAGUAUAAUGACUCUGAUUAUAUUGACACUCCCAUUAGAAGUUACCAUUGAUUAAUUAUGAAAUGCACCAAGAUUCACUCACAUUGCAAUAACAGAUUCCCAUGUCUUGCUCUUAUUGGGUUCUUUGCAUUGUUUGUUUGUAACAUGUAUGGAGGGAAAAAUUGCCAAACAUAUACGCACAUAUGGGACAUUCUUCAAAAAUUUCUAUUUGGCUAUUUUAAAUAUUUUGGGUCUGAAAGAUUAGCGUAUUUUGUAUUGUUUCCGAUCUAUUAAUAUGUGACAUGUCGAUUUUGCAGGUUGGGCAUCCUUGCAAGUGUUGUUGUUGGUAUGACUUGGAAAUACCAAAAUAUGGCGAAAAGACAAUCAAACAACUACUACAGUCACUUGAUAGAUUAAACAUUGAAAUUGAAAAGAUACAAUCAGUAAUGGAUAUUCAAACCCCUCGACAUCAAUUAGAAAUAGAGGCUAAGAGGCGCAAGAGAAAACUGGAGAAGACUAUUUACGUUCUUACAAUUUCAAUGUCAUGGUUAAUUUUUUUGGGAUUACUUAUAUCCACUUGUUGGUUCAAAGAAAAAUGUUAAGUCAUUUGAUGUUGUAAUAGAAUUAACUGUGAAUGUAGCAGUUCACAUAUUAGUGAUUUAUUGUGAACUAUUUGAUGUGUAUGUAGAAGUUGUAAUUUAAUCCAGUUGUUGAAAGAAGGUUUGAGGUCUCUA